UCAGGAUUUGACUGAAAACAAAUGCUGAAUAUUUGUUGAAGUUACAGGAAGUAGAGAAAUGAAGUGAUUAAAAGAAGAAUGUUUAGCUUCCACAGACUCACAUUGUGGUCCAUCAGUCAGUGAAGGUGAUGUCAGUCCUGAUGAGGCUGUAGAAUGUGUGAGGGAGAUCUUUUUCAUAUCAGAAAGUGGUGAGGGUGAUCCAGCCGACUCCUGCUCCACGUAUCCUAUCGGCGGUCUGGCAGACUCCCUCUUCAUGUGUCUUGUCGGUGGUAAAGCCGACUCCAGCUCCAGGGAUCCUGUCGUCGGUCUGGCUGACUCCAGCGGCACGUGUCCUGUCGGCCAAGUGGCUUGAGCUCAAGCCCCCAGAGCCCCAGUUGCCAGAUCUCCAACCUCCAGAGCCCCAGUUGCCAGAUCUCCAACUUUGAGAUGAGCUUCGGCUAUCUGGUCGUCUUCAUGUCCGUUCUCUGGAGCAACUCCGUCAGCCCGGAUGUCCUAAUCUGUGUUGACAUCAGUAGGUGUAUGAAUGUUGUGGUGACACGUCUGUAGAAGGCUGACAUGAUGAUGAUCCACAAUAACCCAAUGACAAAGAGAAAAGCUCAUUAAUUAGGACAUGGUCAUGUUGAGCUACACAUUUAAAACCUGAACACAUCUGAUUGGAUCAUAAAUGGAUUUUUAUCUUAAUCAUUUAUUAUUUAUUCAGGUUGAGGGACUGCUGGAUGUCAGAGAUCAGCUGUUCUUCUCUGGCCUCAGCUCUGAAGUCCAACACCUCCCAUCUGAGAGAGCUGGAUCUGAGUGUAAACAACCUGCAGGAUUCAGGAGUGAAGCGGCUGUCUACUGGACUGGAGAGUCCACACUGUAGACUGGAGACUCUGAGGUUGAGAAACUGCGGUUUGUCAGAGAUCAGCUGUUCUUCUCUGGCUUCAGCUCUGAAGUCCAACCCUCCCAUCUGAGAGAUAUUGAGCUGAGUAACAACAACCUGGAGGAUUCAGGAGUGAAGCUGUUGUCUGCUGAACUGGCGAGUCCACUCUGUAGACUGGAGACUCUGUGGCUGAGAAACUGCGGUUUGUCAGAGAUCAGCUGUUCUUCUCUGGCCUCAGCUCUGAAGUCCAACCCCUCCCAUCUGAGAGAGCUGGAUCUGAGAGAAAACAACCUGCAGGAUUCAGAUGUGAAGCUGCUGUCUGCUGGACUGCAGAGUCCACACUGCAGACUGGAGACUCUGAGGAUGGACGACAAGUUGAUCACAGCUGACAAACACACAAAAUAUGCCGAACCGAAUGUGAAAGAAAAUGUGGCUAAGGACAACAAAUAGGUCCAGGUGUCCCAGUCCAGGUGUGUUCCAGUGUGCUUUGACUGGAGUGGUGUUAUGGCUCAAGAGGCGGAGCUGCUGUACUGGACUGUCCAAUGGAAUGAGAGCCUCCUCCAAUCAACUGCAAACGGAAGCAGGGCAUCACACCUAUAUCAUGCCGAGAAAAGUUAUUUUAAUGAAAAUCACUCAGUCACCAAAAUACGCUCUUUGUACAAAAGGAAUUGUUUGCUCUUUAAUGCAACAUGUUUUUUGUUUUUUUAAAGAUGUUACUUUUUUUUUUUUUAAAUGUACCAUGAUUUACUAAAUGUACUAUCAUGUUUUGAAGAAGACUUGAAACUAGAGAUUGAGACCAUAGAUUCAUGUUUACAAUGUUUACUGAGGGAAUAAAUCAAGAGAGAAGUAGAGUCAUUUUCUCAUAGACUUCUAUACGACCAGAGGAGUCGCCCCCUGAUGGACAUUAGAGAGAAUGCAGGUUUAAGAAACUUUACUACACUUCAGACGGAGGUUCGCUGCUUCUUUAGUUCACAGCUGCCUAAAUGUGAAGUUGUUACAUGUGUCUUUAUAUCUAACGACCGUUGGAUUUAUGUUGUUUAUCUUUUAUUAUAUUUUAUCACAUGUUCAGUUUGUUGCAUGAAUGUAUAAAGAGAAAGUGUUGUGUCACUGUUUCACAUUUUUCACUUUUCUGUGAAGUGUCAUAUUUCAGCCAUAAUGCAUUGCGUGUCAUGUUAUCUUAAGUCAGUCAUAGGGAAGCUUUACACUAGUACAUUUAAGUGUCUUUAGCAGGUUUGACUUGAGGUUUUUGUUGUGUUUAGGAUUCGUCAGACACCAGAGAGAAACAGUUGAGUUAAAGUCAAAACGCUUUAUUGCAAGCUUAGUGAGAGUAUUACAUUUCCGGCAUUUAUACGUGCACGGUCCUAAUUAUGGAUGUCUAACAGAGUUAGAGUACCAAAGUAAAAAAGGCGCUUAACACAAGGUGCGCAGCGGAUUUCAUAGGUUCUCCUUUAGGGAGCCUAUUGGUCAAAUAUUAAAGUAGCAGGCGGUGCUUGUUUUAGCUAUAAGCGGCCUGGUUGGAGCUCUGGGCAUAUCCGCCCACACUG